rnacentral:rRNA from 1 species
ACCAUGCAGUCGAGCGGUAGAGAGAAGCUUGCUUCUCUUGAGAGCGGCGGACGGGUGAGUAAUGCCUAGGAAUCUGCCUGGUAGUGGGGGAUAACGUUCGGAAACGGACGCUAAUACCGCAUACGUCCUACGGGAGAAAGCAGGGGACCUUCGGGCCUUGCGCUAUCAGAUGAGCCUAGGUCGGAUUACCUAGUUGGUGGGGUAAUGGCUCA